CGGACGGGUGAGUAACGCGUGAGCAACCUGCCUUCGAGAGGGGAAUAGCACCUGGAAACGGGUGGUAAUACCGCAUAAGCCGGGAAUACCGCAUGGUAUAACUGGAAAAGGAGCAAUCCGCUUGAAGAUGGGCUCGCGCCCGAUUAGAUAGUUGGUGAGGUAACGGCUCACCAAGUCGACGAUCGGUAGCCGGACUGAGAGGUUGAACGGCCACAUUGGGACUGAGACACGGCCCAG
rnacentral:rRNA from 1 species